AAGCAGGACCUAGUGAUCCGGUGGUACAGUGUGGAAUGGCCAUCGCUCAACAGAUAAAAGGUACUCUGGGGAUAACAGGCUUAUCUCCCCCGAGCGUUCAUAGCGGCGGGGAGGUUUGGCACCUCGAUGUCGGCCCAUCACAUCCUGGGGCUGAAGGCGGUCCCAAGGGUCGGGCUGUUCGCCCGUUAAAGUGGUACGCGAGCUGGGUUCAGACCGGCGCGAGCCAGGUCGGUCCCUAUCUGCCGUGGGCGUUGGAAUCUUGAGGAGAUAUUUCCCUAGUACGAGAGGAUUGGGAAGUACUGACCGCUGGUGUACCGGUUGUCCCGCUAGGGGCAUCGCCGGGUAGCUAUGUCGGGAAAGGAUAACCGCUGAAAGCAUCUAAGCGGGAAGCCCACUCCAAGAUGAUGAUUCCGGUCCCUUCGGGGACGAAGAGCCCUGGAAGACUACCAGGUUGAUAGGCCGGGUGUGUAAGAUAUGAAAAUAUUUUAGCUAACCGGUACUAAUGCUCAACUACUUGACCAU
rnacentral:rRNA from 1 species